rnacentral:tRNA from 1 species
AUUUAUAUAGUUUUAAAAAAAACUUUACAUUUUCAUUGUAAAAUUGGGGCUAUAUUUACCAAACU